UCGGUUGAAUAUGUAUCUUCUUUCGAAUAAGAAUAACGGAAUAAUAUAAGAAUUUAUGAUAGCUGACGUGAUAUAACGAAUUUCACGGAGGGGGAUAACAUUAUUAAAAAGAAGAAUUCAUCGUUGACGGUUUCAGUUCGUGUUCGAAUUUCUAUUUCAGACAAACGAAUGUAAAAUAUCAUAACAUCAUAAAUGAGUUUAAAGAGCCAGAAAAAUCUUACAAAUUUUUCAAGUAUGCUGAUCCAGAACCAGGUGAAGAAGUUGUUAUAUCCGGAAUCGCUGGUAGAUUUCCAAAAUCCAACAAUAUGUAUGAUUUGAAAGAUAAUAUUUUUAAUCGCAAAGAUUGCAUCACGGAUAACGGAAUAGAUACAGAGCAUUCAGAAAUUCCACGACGAACGGGGAAAAUUAACAAUAUUGAGAAAUUCGAUGCAUUAUUUUUUGACGUCAAUUUUAAAGAAGCACAUACUAUGGAUCCUGUAGACAGAAUAUUGUUCGAACAUACUUAUGAAGCUAUUGUAGAUGCUGGAAUUCAUCCAAAAGAUCGUCGUGGAACGAGGACAGGUGUAUUCUUAGGUUCAUGCUUUACCGAUACCAAGAAAACUUGGUUCUACGACAAACUCCAGGCAGGGGAAUCGAUCAAACGAUCAGUUUAUAGAUGGAUUACUUAUACACAAUUACGUAUUUAGUCAGAUAUGCUGUAUAAUACGUCUUUUCAAUUGUAGAUAAAUGGUUUUGGACUCCUAAGUGCUACCAAAGCUUAUACAACCAACAGAAUUUUGCAUUGGUUGGGUGUCACUGGACCAACAUAUAACAUGGAUACCUCGUGCAGCUCAAGUCUAUAUGCGAUGGAACACGCAUAUAGAGCUAUACGUAACGGACAAUGCGAUUACGCGAUCGUCGCUGGAUCAAAUAUUUGACUUCAUCCAUUAGUAACUUUGCAAUUUAAACGUUUAGGAAUAUUGUCUGAGGAUGGUCGUUGCAAGUGCUUCGACGAAGAUGCAGAUGGUUACGUGCGCAGCGAAGCCGUAGUUGUUGCAUUUCUGCAAAAAGGAAAAAAUGCUAAAAGAAUCUAUGCAACAGUUAUCCAUGCGAAAACAAAUUGCGAUGGUUAUAAGGAACAGGGAAUAACAUUUCCAUCUAGCCAAAUUCAGAGUACUAUUUUCAAAGAAUUCUAUGAUGAAUGCGGUGUACCACAGCUUGUAUAAAUUACAUCGAAGCUCAUGGUACAGGAACUAAAGUUGGUGAUCCUGUAGAAAUAAAUGCUAUAGAUCAGAUUUUCACGAAAAACAGAACGAAUCCUCUUAAAGUCGGUUCCAUCAAAUCAAAUUUGGGUCAUACCGAACCAGCCAGUGGAAUGUGCUCCAUUGCCAAGACGAUAAUAUCGAUGGAGACAGGCCUAAUACCCCCAAAUAUUAAUCUUAAUCAACAACGCAAAGACAUAAAAGCUUUUACAGAAGGGAGAAUCAUGCCUGUUACCGAAACGUCUCCGCUUGAUGGGGAAUACAUAGCCAUUAAUUCUUUCGGCUUUGGUGGUGCUAAUGCUCACAUCUUACUCAAAUCAAAUCCAAAAACAAAGAUCAAUGAAAGAUUGCCAGAUGACGAUUUGCCAAGACUCGUAGCAGUUUUUAAGCAGUAGUAACCAUAUUAAAUGAUAUCGAUAAUCGACCCAUAGAUGUCGUUAUUCGUCUCAUUCAUGAUAUUCAUCUCAAAGAAAUAUCAGGUCAUUUAAGUCGGGGAUACACGAUAACUGGUUUUAAAUCGUUUAACAAAAAACUGAGAGAAAUUGAAAACUAUUCUGGUAUAAAAAAGCCAAUAUUAUUUGUUUUUUCUGGAAUGGGGUCGCAGCGGUCUGGAAUGGGUCAAAGUCUAAUGAGAUUUCCUAUAUUUGCUAAAGCUAUAGAGAAAUGCGACGCUGUAUUAAAGCAAUAUAAAUUGAAUAUUUAUAAAAUUUUAACUGAUAAAGAUAAUAGCAUGUUCGACAAUAUCUUGCACUCGAUCGUCGGAAAUGCUGCGGUUCAGAUCGGUAUGGUAGAUCUUCUAACUUCCGUAGGUGUAGUACCGGACUACGUCAUCGGAUAUUCCGUUGGUGAACUUGGUUGCGCUUACACAGAUGGAUGUUUUACAGCAGAGGAAAUGAUAUUAGCAGCAUAUUCGCGAGGAAUGGCCUUGAUAAAAACAGAAAUACCUCACGGUUCUAUGGCAACGGUAGGUCUUUCGUAUGAAGACAUUAACAAUCGCUGCCCUUCUGAUAUCGACAUCGCAUGUCACAAUGGAACUGAAAGUACAACUGUUAGCGGACCGAUCAAUUCUGUGAAGGCAUUCGUUAAAAAAUUACAGGCAACUGAAGUUAUCGUGGAAGAGGUACCGUGCAAUAAUAUACCUUAUCAUAGCCGUUAUAUUGCAGCAGUUGGAUCGAAACUUUUUGUAUAUUUAAAAAAAGUGAUACCAGUAGCGAAGCCACGAAGUAAAAAAUAGCUCAGUACAUCGGUGCCACAAAACGCGUGGUCGACAUCAGCCGCAAAACUCUCGUCAGCUGAGUAUCAUACCAAUAACCUGUUGAAACCUGUACUAUUUGCAGAAACAUUAGCUCUGAUUCCCAACAAUGCUGUCACCAUUAAAAUUGGAUCGCAAAAUCUACUACAGGCGACUUUAACAAAAUCAUUGCAACCAAUAGUCAGGAAUAUUGCAUUAAAUCAUCCAGAUGAUAAAGAUAACGUGAUCAUUUUUCUGCAAGCAUUAGGGAAGCUUUAUAACAGUGGUAUACAGCUUGAUCUUGCUAAAUUAUAUCCACACGUAGAAUAUCCGGUCAGUCGAGGUACUCCAAUGAUAUCUCCACUUAUUGGAUGGAAACAUUCAGACGACUGGUUUGUGUCAGAUUACAAUAAACAAGUGAGAAUUGAUUCUGGCGAACGAAUAUUUGAAAUAUCGAUCGAUUAUGAAGAAUUUCAGUAUGUUAGUGGUCACAUGAUUGUUGGAAGAAAUU